GGCCCUACGGGGCGCAGCAGGCGCGAAACCUCCGCAAUGUGAGAAAUCGCGACGGGGGGAUCCCAAGUGCCAUUCUUAACGGGAUGGCUUUUCAUUAGUGUAAAGAGCUUUUGGAAUAAGAGCUGGGCAAGACCGGUGCCAGCCGCCGCGGUAACACCGGCAGCUCUAGUGGUAGCAAUUUUUAUUGGGCCUAAA
rnacentral:rRNA from 1 species